AAAAUAUGUAUUAAAUUUUUUUGUUGUUUUUGUUUCUUCUCUCAUUUUAUAACGUUAGUGUGAAUGAAACUUUCAACAUGGUCGGUGUAGCGACGACGACGACGGAGUAUAACACUUGAAUAGGAAAAAAAAGAAGAAAAACAAGAAAAAGAGAAAAAUAAUAAAACGAAUAAUAAAUUUGGCUUUGUUGUAAUUUAAGUAAAGCAAAAUAUAAUUUUAUUUAUUAUGGAUAGUGUAAAAAUGUAAAUUACGAAAAGGAUUAAAAUUAUUUUUUAUUUAAUUAGAAAAAUCAAUGAUAUUUAUUAAAAAAAAAUAUUUUAACAAUUAAAAAAAAUAAAAUAUAUUUAUUUAGAGUGGUACACAAAUAAUAUUGUAUUAAAAAUAUAAAAACAAAACAAUAAAAAAAUAUAACACUAUAAAACAAUUUUUAUAAAAAAAAUUUGACAGAUGAAAUUUAACUUUUCAACUAUAAAUGAAGAAAAGAAGCAAGAAACCUUUUAAAGUAAGACAACUCAUAUACGUUUAGAGAAAAAAAACACUUAUUUGAGCUAAAAUUCAGCUCUCAAAUUAUGUCUCUUGCUUAAUAUCACAUCAAACAAUAUAUAUAUAUAUCUAUAUACAUACAUAAUUGAUAAAUUAUUAUUCUCCCAUCUUAUUGAGAUUCUCUCAUCAUAUAUAUAUAUAUAUAUAUAUAUAAGAAAUUGAAGAAGCGGAAAGAAGCAAAAAAGAAGAAAAGCUAAACAAAAAGUUAUUUAUUCAAAACCUUUUUUUUUUUUAAAUUUUUUUUUUUU